CAAUUUUCCGUACAAAUUUACGAUUGGCACCGUUUGUUUCGCGCCAAUAGUUAUGUGUUUCAAUCAAAAUCAUGGGUGUAAUGAGCCAUGCAAUCGACCAGUUCAUGUAUCCAACGAGCUGCAGCCGCUGCCGCAGGACCACCAGCAGUACCAGCGGCUGUACCGUUUAUUGCUUCGGGUCAAUUGAUACACCGAAUACUAAUAAAUUGGCAAUGACCUCAUAUUCUUUCUCAAUACAAUCGCAUUCUCACCGAAACAACAUCACAAAAUUAAAUUUACACCAG